ensembl:lncRNA
AUCAUACCACACUUCAGCAAUCAGUAGCUUACUGCGUAGCUAGAUAACGAUAGUAAGCUAGGGAUAGCGAUAAAGUGUUAAACUGACAAGUUAGCAUAAUGAACGAUAACAUGUAUGGUUUGUGAUUCAUUGUUCCGCCCCGUAUGCUACAAACACGCGUUAAAAAGCUAUGAUAGAUAGCAACGAGCUAUGUAAUUUAAUGCUAUAUUGUCAUAUACUUUACGACAAUUUAGCAGUUUAUUAUAACAUGUUUCUACUGUUAGCAUAGCUAUCCUAACUUAGCUAACCAGGUGUUUGUGUGUUACCGCUGCUCUUUGUCAUAGGCUCUCUCUUCUCUUUGUGAUGAAAAGAGAGAAACCUGAUUCUCAUGUUGAGUGUGUGUGAGAGGCUAUUAUACCACGUUACGAUAGCUAGCUAACAAAUGUUAGUUUUCCAUAUAACGUUAAUAUAAUAAUAUUAGCCUUGUGUUAGUUAUAGACAGCUACUGUUAAUACAGCAGUAUCUUACGUUAAAGAGUUGAAUUAGCUUACAAGCCUUCUUGUAUUUUGUCUUGCAGUGCCAUAAAGCGUGUAGUAGUAGUAGUUUGUUAAGAGUAUUUGUUUUUCUGUUUUCAUUUACACAGUUUCAUUUGAUCUUCCAACAAACCAAGCUCAAGAUGAGUCAUCUCAAUGUCAAGAAUGGACCACUUGCAGAUAAAAGAAAUGUGUUAGGUGUUUUUAGCAAACAUUUUAAGUCUCACUUCAAGACCCCAAUACCAGCUAACAACGCUACUGCUUGUUGCAGAUCUUGUUGUCAUGCAGAUGCAGCAGAAACUCUGCACAGUAGUGUAAUACCUGUUAAAGGGAGACGGUUGAAGACGCGCAAGGAGAGAGACCAUAAAAGGCAUGGAUGUGGUGGGCAAAAAAUUAAGUCACACUCCCGUCCUAAACAAAGUUGCAGGAGGGAGGGUAGAGAAAAGGAGCCCUGUGAAGGAUCCUGUCAACCACUCUCUUACGCACAUAAACAAAAGACAUUUGCAAAAGCUUUUGCCCCUAAAGAGCCCUCUUUUAUCACAGAGCGACGUCUCAUUGGUCACCAAGGCCUGUUCAACCAUGAAGUGAAGUCAUUUGAUAUUGAACGUCUACUGAGUGAAGAAAGGAAAGCAGAGAGAUCACAAAAGCAGUCAAACCGCACUGACAAAAAGGCUUUUUCACCUACUCUGUCUCCCACACAAAAUUCAGGUGAUGACAAGACAUGGCCUCCAAACCAAAACAAAGUGUCCAGGAAGUGCAGCAGCCAAGGAGUCUCAGCUGAGACUGGGUGUGGGGAUGUAGUCAGGGGUCAAACAUGUUGUCAAAGCGAUGACCGAGGAGACAGUGGUACAAACAAUCAGGGAUCAGGAGCUUCACCUUGCCGGAGAAAAACAGAAUGCAUGGAUCUGACUCUCUCUAAAAGCAACUCCGUUGUCGUCCUGUCCUCAACUCCCAAAAGUGCCGUGUCAAAUGACAUGCCGCAGUCGACUCCAAGGAUUUCAGUAGAAGGGUACAGUUCCCCCAAAAUGUCCUGUGCAGGGAGUCCCACUCAGCUUGCCUCUUUUGAUACAAAUGCUCAACGUUCAGAGUACACACCUAGAGGCCUAAAACCUCCAGUACCUCACCGUAAGGCACAGAGACCCCACAACAGCCCUGACUCACCCACAGCUAAAGAUGUGAGCAGUGCCAGUCCGGAUCAGAAGGCAAAGAGUGAAACAGAGAGGGAUCAGUUGGAGGCAAAAGUAGCCGGGCAUCUAAUCAGUGUUGUGGCUGGUCGCCUAUGCCAGUCUCUGGAUCGUCCACUAUUGCUGCGCCACCAUCUGUUCGCGGAGAGCAGAGCCACACUUCGACAUGCACUCCAGGAAAGACAUGGAACUCUGCUCCAGCAGAAUCUGCUGAAGCUACACACAAGGCUAGGUCUUGGACAGAGUCAAGUGGACAGCGGACAUGGCACCGGGGUGCACAAUAAAGCUUUGAAGGACAAGUGGACAGCUCUGAAUGAUGUGCAGGGCAGUGGGGCAGGGCCAGACCCUGGGCAGCAGACAUGGCUGGCCCCCCUGCAGAAGUCGAACAGCAAACGGAGGAGGAAGCAGACGCGUCCCCAGAGACGGACGCCACCCAGUCCCCUGCUUCCCCAGGGCCCCCUCAGUGAAUCACUGCAGGGCACUGACCUAAAGCAAUCACAGGCUUUGCCUUGGACUCUUAACAUGGGAACAGAGCAAGAGGUCCUUGGGGAACCAGUAAAUCCAACCUCUCAUCCAUUUUCACUGGGCCUCCAAACAACCAAUACAUUCCUGACUGGUGAUAAACCCUUCUCUUCUAAAUGGGGGCCACACACUGUAUUACCCCAGAGCUGGAACAAGAAACUUGACCAGGAGGAGAUCCACCCCCAAGCCAUGAGUAACUCAUACGAGAAAUGGAGGCAUGACCCAGAUCUGCGCUUUCUCUGCCAAAUAGAAUAUCAGGGACAGCACCAGUAUCCAUUUUCCAGUUACAGAGCCAUGCCACAAGAUGGCAGUCUCAGAGAAGCUCAGCACAUGACAGCGCAUCAGCAGUUUGACUUUAAAAGGCACCUAGCGAGUGCUUGCUCUCCUGACACUGCUCGCACCUCCCCGAAGAACCUCCAGCUCCAACCCUAUUACCUCUCUCACCAUCCACUCACCUCAACCAGCUCUUCUACCAUGUCCUACAGGCCAGACAUGAACUUUUACCCCCCUUCAGAGCUGCUGGACUUGGCUUUGUCUCCACCGAAGCGUCCCUCUGCCAGCCCAGAGGGCUGGUCCUACCCUCGGAUGAGGCUAUACUGA